AGGCAGGGGCAGAAGGGGUCCAGGCAGGAAUGGGGAUCCAGGCAGGAGCGGGGGUCCAGGCAGGAAUGGGGAGGUCCAGGCAGGGAAAAAACUGGUGAUGAAUGGUCUUGGAGAGAGCCGGAGGGGAAAAAGGAUGGCGGAGAUCCCGGACAGCUGAACUGUGUGGAGGCAGGAGAAAACAACGUAAGACAAGGUAAACUCAACAGAUUCUACAAGGGCGAGAAAGCGAACUGAACUGUGGUGUCUUGGUUCAACAAUCUGGCAGGGAGUGGAAGGAUGAGCCGGUUCUUAUUGCAGAGGUGAUUAAUCAGCGUGAUGUCCCUCAGCUGUCCGGGAGCCGUGGAGGUGGUUGAUUGCCUGAGUGGAGUCAGCUGGGAAGCUAGACUCCACUCAGGCACCGAGCUGUAGGGGGAGAGACAGGGCAGAGGAGCGGAUGGGAGACAGGCGAGACAGACAGGGCAGAGGAACAGGAGAGGGGGAGAGGAGCAUGAGAGGGAGGAAACAGAUGGGGAAAAGGGGUAUUUGGGGAUGUCAGGUGGGAAGGACGGGGGUGAGGAGGGAGCCCUGACAGAUAUAUUAUUAUCCAGGCAACAAUCUUUAAUAAAUUAUAUUCAAUUGCUAAUCUGUACGACCCAAAUAAUGAUGAUCCAGCCUUCUUUCAUGUGGUUUUCUCCCACUUAGCAGACUUAUCUGCUAACUCAACAACCAUUAUUGGUGGCGACUUCAACAUAGUAUUAAACCCGUCACUAGAUCGAUCUCAUAGUCCAAUACAUGCAAAACAACCACAAUCAGCUAAAGUCAUACGGGAUUAUAUGAAAGAUUUUGGACUAGAAGAUGUCUGGAGACUCAAAAACCCAACAAAGAGGGACUAUACUUUUUUCUCUCAGGUACACCAAACAUUUUCAAGAAUUGACUUUUUCCUCUCAAAUAACUCUAUCGCACACAAAGCUACUACUAAAAUUCACCCAAUCAUUAUCAGCGACCAUGCACCCAUAUCUCUCAGCCUGCAAACAGAUUCCAUCCCUAAACCUCCUCUGACUUGGCGCCUAAACAUCUCUCUACUCGAAGACCAGGAAUUUGAUCGAAUAAUAAGAAGUGAGUGGGCAGACUUUCUAAAAAACAAUGACUCCAAUGAUGUAUCUCCAUCUUUACUUUGGGAAACUGGAAAAGCCGUAAUCAGAGGCAAAAUAAUAUCGUACUCCUCGUACAAGAAAAAAAGGAUCAACAACUACAGGAAGAAAUUGGGGAAAAAAUUAAAGAACUUACAGAGAACUAUGCAAUAAAUCCAAGUGAUCAAUUAUGGUCUGAACUACAAAAUGUUAAACUAAAACUCGAUAAUAUCUUAUCAAAGAAAACAGAGUUCAUAUUACAACAGCUGAGAUAUAAUAAUUUUGAACACAACAAUAAAUCAGGAAAAUUUCUUGCGAACCAACUCCAGCGCAAUAAAGAAAAAUCCUUCAUAACAGCAAGUCAGGAUCCCUCAGGAAAAUACACUCAGUCACCCCAGGAAAUCAAUCAGACUUACUAUAAUUAUUACCAAAGCUUGUACUCAUCAACAGUCAACCCAAACGAAGAAGAUAUUCAUAACUUUCUUGACAAUCUAAACUUGCCCGAAUUAACAUCAGAUCACAGAGACACACUAGAUGCUCCAUUGUCUAUCAAAGAGUUACAGUGUGCAUUAGACAGUAUGCCAGCAGGCAAGGCACCUGGUCCUGAUGGCUUCCCUGCUGAAUUUCUUAAACAAUUCUGGUCAAUGUUAGCACCCCUGUUCUUCAGGACAGUGACAGAGAUUAAAAAUAAUGGUUAUAUAAGUUCACAUAUGAAUACAGCUGCAAUUAAAUUAUUAAUGAAACCAGACAAAGACCCGACACUUCCCUCCAGCUAUCGUCCUCUGUCACUAAUCAACACUGACAUCAAAAUUAUGUCAAAAGCACUCACCUCUAGGUUGGAGAAAAUUAUCCCGUCAAUAAUCCACUAUGAUCAAACAGGUUUCAUAAAUGGCCGACACUCCACCAACAAUAUCAGAAGACUUCUUAAUCUAAUCUCUCUGACGCAACACCACAAUAAAGAAGCUAUCGUUAUGUCACUGGAUGCAGAAAAAGCCUUUGACAAAGUCAAUUGGUCCUUUCUCUUCGCUGUGCUCCGCAAAUUUGGCUUCGGAGAGUCAUUUAUCCAGUGGAUAUCAGCUCUGUACUACUCACCCAAGGCUACAGUAACCACUAAUGGAAUCACUUCACAAAGUUUCAGUUUGCAAAGGGGAACGAGACAAGGAUGCCCACUCUCUCCUUUAUUGUUUUCAAUCUUUAUCGAACCAUGAGCAACAGCUGUACGUCAGAGCACUGAUAUCAAAGGUAUCUGUGCUUUGGAGACUGAACACAAAAUUAACCUAUACGCAGACGACAUUUUAAUUUACCUACAAGAACCGAAAACCUCAGUGAAGGAAGUAUUUAACCUCAUUACAACCUUCUCACAUCUUUCAGACUACUCCAUCAACUGGUCAGAAUCAAUCAUAUUACGAUGUGGGCCAAAGGCGGAGGGAAGACAGUAGUGUCGCAUAUUCGUUUCCGCCCGGUAACGCCCAUUAAUAUCUGGCUGGAUACCGCCGUAGCGAACGAAUAUUUGGCUAUUCGGGAUAUUUGUGUCCAGCCCUACUGCGUGUGUGUAUCAGAGCUGAAGACUUAAUGUCUCAUUUCAGGGUUUUCAGGUUUUUGAGGCUUCCUAAAAUGAGAACGUUUUAAAGCCCAAAAUCAGAGGACUCGGCAGGUGUCGAGGCUUUGGAAAGUCUUGGAACUGAGGGUUCAACCCUCCAGCACAAAGGCUGAAGUUCAACUUCCCGAGAAAAACGGUCAUGUCGAGACUCGAGUUAAAAAAAACCCUCAAAGGACAAAAAAUAGAAGAUAAAUGCACAAAAAAAAAGAAGAAAUAGUAUCUGAGCGAGUGGCGCUCCCUGCCGCCUGAGGGUCGAGCUCAUUCUUGGUAGCGACGGCCAGUCACCUUGCCGCCUGCUACCAAGAAUCUACCAAGAAUUGAAGGCCCUGGCCAAUCAGCGCUGGCAUCACUACCAGGAUUCGCUGCUACCAAGAACUGACCAAGAGAUAGCGCCGCUGGGGAGCGCUCACCUAUUGCCUCAUUUGACAGCGGCUUUUCAAAGGUAGGGACGCUUGUGUUUCUGCGAGUUUUAUCUAAAUAAGUUGUUGUUUGUUGUUGUUUUAAAAAGGUAAUAUUAAACUACAGAAUUAAAAGAGCUAGCGAUGUGAUGUGUGCGGGUACGUGUUUUUGUGAGGUCCCGUCGUCGCCGUAUAAACUUUGGAUUUUCUUUUUUAUCGUUUUGGAUACUCCAUGCGAAUAUGAACGUUUGUCACAGUGGUGUUGCUGAAAAGUCAAUUUAACCUGACAUUUUUGGUGGCCGGUGUGACGUUACCGACGGCUUUAUAAUGCUAGGUUUACUUCGUCCUGUUACCUGUCAGGUCCCGGCGUCACCGUAUAAACUUUGGAUUUUCUUUUGUCGUUCUGGAUACUCCAUGCUAAUAUGAACGUUUGUCACAGUGGUGUUGCUGUAAAGUCAAUUUAACAUGACAUUUUUGGUGGCCAGUGUGACGUUACCGACUGCUUUAUAACACUAGGUUUACUUCGUCCUGUUACAUGUCAGGUCUCGUCGUCGCCGUAUAAACUUUGGAUUUUCUUGUUUUGUUUUGGGUUUUUUUGUCUGCAUAUCCGCUCACAAAUGACACCAGCUUAAGUAAUGACACCAUGGUGUCAUUACUUAAGCUUCAUGGAAUUUUUUUCUUAUUUGUGAGUGUGACCAUCACCUGCCCUCAUGGCAAAUUAACCUAUCAUGUUUAUUAUCCCCCGCCUCCACGAAGUGGAAAAGGGGGAUGUAGGUUUGGCCUCCGUCCGUCCGUGAGUCCGUCCGUCCGUCCGUCCGUGCGUCCCUCCGUGCAUCCGACAUGAAGGGGACAGCUUUUCUCGGAAACUGUUACUGCUAGGAUUACAAAAUUUAGCGUGUAGCUUCACACCAUGGACACCUUGAUCAAGUUCGAAAAUGAGACCUGUGCGAUAUUAUUUAACAGAGUUAUGGCCCUUUAUCACUAUUUUGUAUAUAGACUCAUAGACAUCACGUGGAGGGGGAUAUUGAUGACCAUGUCGUCUUGUUUCAAACUGUUUCCUACAUUAUGCCAUUGAGGGCUGUGCACACCCAAGUGAAACAUAAAGUAAACAGUACAGACAGAAAAGUGAGGCAUAGACAGUGUUCUGAGAGAAAAGGUGCAUUCUAUUUAUUUGUGCUCUUUAAUUCACACCUUGAAAACCAGUUACAAAUCUAAGACCCUUCACAAACACCAGAUACGACAGAAUCCCAACAGGCUCAAUCAUGAAGAUGUCAGAAGGCCACAGGAAGGAUAGAUGAACCAGGGUGAGAUCCACAGACACUAACCCAGCAGCCUCCACUGACUCAACGACCGGAGGAACAAACUCUAUUGAGUUUUGGUAGAUGCCGGUGUGGUGGGUCUGGCAUGCAUGAAAACCUCCCCCAAAAGAAGGGAACUGUCCCCUCCAGCCCAAGGAGGCCCACACCGCCCCCCCGCAGGAGCUGGGAACCACGGGAGGCCAACGACACCACACAAAGCGGCCGCCCCCACGAAGAAAACACGACACGCGGCCCAGCCCGACCAGGUGCCCGAUCCAGACGGCCACCAGGCCACCACCCGCGACGUUUUUAGUCGCAAAUGGCGACCCGGCGACCGCCCAAACCAAGCACCCGACCGAGCCAAACCGCCCACCACGCCCCCCCACGGAAGCAGCCACCCCGCACGACGCCACCAACAACCCCCCACGACCCCCGGUGCCCGUGGCAACCCGGCAGCCGCCCAAACCGAGCGCCGCCCAGGGGGCAAGGCCAACCACGUCGAGCCACAGGGGACAGCACCUAGAAAGUUAGCCAAGCAUGCAGUGACACCAAGCUCGCCAUUCAUGCAUAUAGAGGGAGGAUCCUGAGUUGAUGACUGUAAGGUGUCGUCGAUACGGCCCGCUCGGUCCUGCUGACAGCGACUGGGUUCCUAACUGAAGACAAUCAUUAGUUAUACAAUGCCAAAGUACAUAAGCAGCAACAUAUAUUGGGGUGAUGUGGUGGCUCUCGCUAACAGGCAGAGUCAGGUUACCAGGUUUAAGUUAAGGGAGUUAAUACGGUGACCAUGUUUGUAUAAAAUUUAACAACUGAUUUUUAUUUCAAGCAGAGAUUUUCUCCAUUGAAAUGUGAUUUAUUAGGAGGUUCAACCAGAGGUUGAUGUUCAGAGAUUGCUUAUUUUUCCAGUUAACAAGGAUUGCUUUUUUGGUGAUGGCGAGGGCUACAAGUAAGGAUUGAGAUUGUUUGCGUGGUAGGUCCGUUGUUAAGUCGCCGAGUAAACACAGACUUGGAGAUAAAGGAAUGUCAAAGAAAGCUUUGAGAUAGCUUUAGCUAAUGCAGGCAGCUGGAGCUUGCCUUGAAGUGUUGGAAUUCUUUUCUUAAUAAUAUUUUUAACUUGUAGAUAAUGUAAAAAGUUCCCAUUUUUUAUUUUGUAUUUUUGAAGCAAGUUUGUAUAUGACAUGAACGUAUUAUCUGAAAAGAGGUGGUGAAGAUGUGUAAUUCCAUUCUGCUCCCAAACAGCUAAAUGAAGCGGCUGAUUGUUAACCUGAAAGUCAGGGUUGUGCCAAAUGGGAGAGAACUCACAGGGCUCCAAUUUGGAGUUUGUAAUUUCUAAUGCCUUCCACCAAGCGGUCAAGGUGGAGGAUAUCAUUGGGUUUUUAAAACAAUUGUGUCGUUUGAUGGAUGUUGUAAUAAAGAGUAUGUCUGAAAGUCUGAUGCUGUUGCAAUCCUUCUGUUCUAAUUCUAACCAACAGUUGGCAUCUCUGUUAGGUUGUGUCCAUCGAAUAAGAUAUUGUAGCUGGUUAGCUAAAUAAUAAUGCAUAAAAUUUGGUGCCUCUAGACCUCCUUCGGAUUUACUUAUCUGAAGAGUAGAUAGACUGAUUUUUGCUUUUUAUUAUUCCAGUAGAAUUUUGUGAUAGCUAAGUCCAGCGACUGGAACCAGUUGGAUGUUGGUUUGAAUGGAAUCAUUGAAAAGAAAUCAUUUAUUUUUGGUAUGAUUUUCAUUUUAAUAGUAGCUAUUCGUCCCAGAAGAGAUAUAGGGAGAUUAUUCCAACGCUGUAGAUCCCUGCUGAUAUUAUCCAGUAGUGGGGCAAAAUGUAAGUGAGUUAAUUCAGAUAAUUUAGGUGAAAUUUUUAUGCCUAAGUAUUUUAAAUUGCCUGUAGAGAAAGAGUAGUGAGGGUCCUGGUCUGCAGGGUUCCAUGAAUUUUCUGUGAUCAGAGGUAAUGUUGAUUUUGUCCAAUUUAUGGAAUAAUCUGAUAAAUGUGAAAAUUUAGUUAUUAAGUUAAAUACUUCCCUUAAUGAGGUAGCGGGUUCUUCGAAAUAAAGUAAUAUAUCAUCUGCGUAUAAAUUAAUUUUGUGUUCUGUUGCCCCAGAGCGGAUUCCUUGGAUCCUGACAUCCUGGCACACAGCUGUUGCCAACGGCUCAAUGAAUAUCGCAAAUAACAAAGGAGAGAGUGGACAGCCCUGUCUGGUGCCUCUCUGUAAGGUGAAGGUCUUUGAGAUGGAACCUCGCUUCCGGAGGCGAGCUGACGGCAGUCUCAACUUCUCAGACUCACCUGAAGCAGCCAAAAGUUAAAGCGCAAAACUGAGACAAGCCAUGGCAGCGCCCCUUGUCCCCAGAAGGAGUGCUGGAAAGGGCCAAAAAAGCAUUGGUCCAGCCCCACGGAGACACACAAAAUCAAGUACACCUCCUGGGUUUCUUUGAAAUUCAGUUUGGUGUGUUUCGUGGCCUGUCAUUUAGGUGGGUGGCUGAAAACGCGCUGGGGUAUGCUGCUUACCUGGUGGCAGCGAUGAAGAGGGACCCCACAGGAGGCAGCAAAGACUCCCGAGAGCAUGCCCAGAACAAGGCGUGUUUUAGGGAGUACAUUGAGUUGUUUCCUUCUGGCAGAAUUGCUAUUGCCAUGAAGGAAGAGCGGUAUGCUGGAAAAACACGGCAGCAUGCUGCCACCACCUCUCAGCCCACCUCCACCACCACCACCCAGCAUGUUGCCACUUCCACCCAGAACGUUGCCACCUCCUCUCUCUGCUCCUUGUUGGUCGGAAAGCUGCCAAACCAGCCAAGUUUGUCCAGAGCUAUUAAAAGGCUGGUUUCCCCUGUCAAAGCCAAACCUUCUUUGACCCAGGCACGCGCACGGCAGUACACCACUGAGGCUCCAGAACCCUCGUGCUCAUCCACUCAACCCUCUGUGUCCACUGAGCUGGAUGACAGCACAUUGUUCACAGAGGCAAUGAAGUUUGAGGAGGCACAGUUGGCACCACAGCAGAUCUGUCUUCCAGCUGGCUGGAUACACACCUUGCCUGAAGUGGACCAGAAGUGGAUUUGACAGCACAGGGGCAUCUGGAGCUGGACUUCAGCAGAGUUAACAGGAUUUGGUGGUAUCCACCACAGGUGCCACUGAGGACCCGUACUCUUCCACCACUGGAGAACUACUUUGGCCACCUCCUGCUGCUCUGGAUGCCACGCAAGCUGUGGCAGGUGCAACUGACAUGUCCUCAUUCAAACUGCAGUGGUCGUCUGACCUCAGCUGGCCUGCAUAUCCGUGAGUGCAUCAUCACCAAUGCAAAGGUGAUGAAUGAGACCACAUUACAGCUUCCAGAAGUGAAUGCUGCGACCAUCACACAAUGGUUCAGCAGGCGUUCCCGGUCACAGGAGCAAGCAAUUUUAAAACAGGGUAUCAAAGCUCCAGACGCACCCAUGGCAGGACCUGAGAGGCUUCCUGCAGCGAUGCAGAAAAGCCCAGCUCUGUAUCCUGGCAGUUCAGCUCAGCCUCACCUCUUCAUUCUGCCUCCAAACACGGCUGGGGAGGCUAAGCUCAAGGGGAGAUUCCAGCCUCAGGCCAUCUCCCAGGCUCCUCCACUACAGCAGGCACUUCCUAUGAUUGCACCGGCACCUUCCACCACUCUCCCCUUCAUUGUACCAUCUCUGCAGCAUCCUACAGUGUCUGGACCCUCACAGAUGAUGACUGCACCUGGAACCUCACAGGCGAUUUUCCUACCUCCAGCUUUUCCACCAUCAACUCCAGUUCCUUAUACCACUCAGCAAUACAGGAAGAGGAAACUGGAAAGGGAGCGCACUGGCAUUGUCACAAGGAAAUAUGUCAAUAAGACAGAUGUGAUCCUUUGUAAAAAGUGCAACAAAGAGAGAAAGCCACCAUCCCACCUGCAGUACUUCGGGAACUGGUACUGCGAGGAGUCUGAGAGCCAGUCGUAUGGAGAAUGGAGGACUGUGUUGGAGGCUCGUGGUUAUGGGAGAAAAAAGAUGGGGAGUGAUAACCCUCCAUCUCCCUAAAGGUUUUCUUUUGUAGUUUUAUUGUGUGUAUUUAUUAUUAUUUAUCAUUAUUUAUUAUGUAUAUUAUUUUUGAGCCAACGCUCUUACCUCUUGAUUUUGUGUUUUUUGUUUGGCUAUAUUUUAUUUCACGUGUGCAGUUACAAUGGUCGUGGGAUGUCCUAAUAGUGCUUUGUUUCAUUAUUUUUGUUUUGUUCAGUUUCUUGCACUUUAUUUCAUUUUAUGUUCAGCCUUUGCACUGUGUCUACACACAUCGGUUGAACAGACUGCUCUGAGUGUGAUCUGAUUUUAAUGAGAACAGUAGCACUAGUAAUCAUAUCAAUAAUAAUAAGAACAAUAGUAAUAAUAAUAAUAAUAUCAAUUAAAAUAAUAAUGGUAAUGAUUAGGUUGAUAAAUAAUCAAAUAUGUUAAUAUAAUUAUAUUGAAAGCAAUAGUAUUAAUAUGGUAACAUUAAUAAU